GGGGGAUAACUAGCCGAAAGGUUAGCUAAUACCUGUAUAUUCUCUUAGGAGGAAAGCGGGGGACUCGUAAGAGCCUCGCGCUCGCCGGAGUGGCCUAUCUCCGAUUAGCUAGUUGGUGAGGUAAAGGCUCACCAAGGCGACGAUCGGUAGCUGGUCUGAGAGGAUGAUCAGCCACACUGGGUACUGAGACACGGUCCAAACUCUCAUACGGGGAGGCAGCAGUGGGGAAUUUUGGACAAUGGGGGCAACCCUGAUCCAGCCAUGCCGCGUGCGGGAAAGAAGGCCUUCGGGUUGUAAACCGCUUUUAUUU
rnacentral:rRNA from 1 species